UUUGAACCUAUAUUGGAGUGUAUGAAAACUACAUUAAUCAAAAUACUAACGUGUUAAAAAAAUAUUUUUAAUAAAUUUACGAGUGUUAGUUUUUUAAUACGUUAUGUAACACCCCUCACCCGUAUCCAACGUUGGGACAGGGUUUGAGGCGUUAACGAACUUAAACAUUCACAACAACACAUAACAUAUUACCAACCAUGCAUGGCAAACAAGCAUAUGCACAUCACCAAAAUCAAACAUAACAUAAAUAGCUAGAUUUAUAAGUCAGAAUCAUUAGCUCACUAAAGACCAAUAUAUUUGGCCAAAUUAUAGUAACACAUGUUAUAAAACUAGGUCCCUAUACAUGCCACUCACUUGAUAAUUCUAGCAUAUAUGUUUAUACUGUCAAGGUGUUCGCUUGAUAGUGUGAUGCUGCCUCCGACGAUCUCCAACCCUGAGCUAACCUGACAACACUAAAAGAAAUGGAAAGGAGGGGGUAAGCUUUAUGCUUAGUAAGCUCACAUGAAAUAAUAAUAAGCAGUUUACUACCAUGCUUUCCAUAGUAAAACUAACCCAAUUGUACAUUUACACAUGUUCUGGUUGAGCUGCUUUCUUGAGUCACAGUCACUAAAUCAUUUAUAUCUAGAGUUACGAAACUCCAAAUUAAGAUUCGUAAAUUUUCCCAGAAAUUAGAAUCAUAUAUAUUUCCACCAUAAAAUUUUUAGAAUAUUUGGUCUAGCCAAUAAGUACAGUUUAUUAUUCAAAUUCUCCCCUGUUUCGCUGUUUGAUAGCUUCAACCUUUCUUCACUAAAAUUUAUUUAUCUCAUAGUACGAGACUCAGAUAAUGUUUCCGUUUGUUUCUAUUAAAACUAGACUCGUCAAAAAUUCUAAGCAUAUAAAUUAUAACCCGUAAUUAUUUUUCUAAAAUUUUUAACAGUUUUUCCAAGUCAGAACAAGGGAUCUCGAAUUCAUUCUGACACUAUCUAACAAAAAUUAGAAUAUCACAAAAUAUACAACUCUUUUGCUACCCCUGUUUCUUUUAUAUGAAAAUAGACUCACUAAGCUUUAAUUCCAUAAUUUAUUUUAAAUUUAAUUCAACUUACAUAAUUUUUAGUGAAUUUUCAAAGUCACACAACUGCUGCUGUCCAAUACUAUUUUACUACUAAAAUUCACUCUUACAUAAUUUUACUUAAUCCAUUUUGUCUUAUCGAAGUUCACUCAAAUAUCGAGCAUAUUGCUCAAAAUUUUCUUAAACAUAUGCCUGCACUUAUUCAUCAUAUAAUCAUGUUCACAUGUAUUUUUACUUAAUCGAUUUUCUCGUUGAACUCUUCAGAAAAAUAACUGAUACUCAGUUGCUUGCACAUAUUUUCACACUUCUAGCCAAAGCUAUCUGGUAUGCAUAGUAGCCUGCACUUAGUACUACACAUGCGACCAAUUAUCCGGUACACGUAGUAGCCUGCACUUAGUACUACACACGUGACCUAACCAUCUGAUACACAUAGUAGCCUGCACUUAGUACUACACACGUGACCUCACAAUAGAUCAUUCGUAUCGUUUCUAUUCCGAAGGCUCAACUGGGAAAUUUCUCACUUUCCAACAUUUUACAAUUUAUUCAUAGUCCUUUUUCAAUUUGCAAUUUACAACAAAUAACCAUUCUAUAGGCAGCCACGUUUCAUAUGAUAACAAAAUAUAAUAAAAUAAAAAGAAUCGAUAAAUUAUUUACGUACAAACUUACCUCGGAUUCAGAAAUGGCAAUUUACCAUUCUAGUCUAUAACCUUGUAUUUUCCCGAUUUAAGCUUAAAUCUCGAUUUCCUUGAUAUGUAAUAUCACACUUAGCCUACUAAUUAGUCACACUAUUCAUAUGGGUCUAAAAAUCAUUUUUUUACAAAUUUUCAUUUUGACCCUUAAACUUUUGUAUAUUUACACUUUUGCCCCAAGGUUUGGAAAUUAAUCUUCUUCUUAUUUUCUUAUGUUUUAUGACAUGCUGAUCAUUUUCCCCUUCUAUGGGAACAUCAAAUUCUCACUCUAACAUGUACUUAUGAAUAUUAUGUAUUUUUACCGAUUAUACCAUUUUACUCGUUUUCACGUAAAAUUGCUUAGCAAAAGUUGUUUAACACAAUUUCAAGCUUCGUAUUCUACCAUUAAACAUAAAAUACAUGCAUAUCAUUCAUGGAUAAAUUUUCAAACAUAAAUCCUAGCUCAAAAUAAUGGUAAAAAUGAGCAGACCAUGUUACCGGGAUUUCAAAAAUACAUAGAACAUUAAAAACGGAGCUCGGAAUCACUUACUAUUAAGCUUAAAAGCUUGGCCAAACCCUAACCAUGGCUGCUCUCGGUACAUUCUGCUGUAGCAUG
rnacentral:lncRNA from 1 species